rnacentral:rRNA from 1 species
AUUGAACGCUGGCGGCAGGCUUAACACAUGCAAGUAGAACGAGCGGCGGACGGGUGAGUAAUGUCUGGGAAACUGCCUGAUGGAGGGGGAUAACUACUGGAAACGGUAGCUAAUACCGCAUACCAUCAGAUGUGCCCAGAUGGGAUUAGCUAGUAGGUGGGGUAAUGGCGAACCAAGGCGACGAUCCCUAGCUGGUCUGAGAGGAAGACCAGCCACGCUGGAACUGAGACACGGUCCAGACUCCUACGGGAGGCAGCAGUGGGGAAGAUUGCACAAUGGGCGCAAGCCUGAUGCAGCCAUGCCGCGUGUAUGAAGAAGGCCUUCGGGUUGUAAAGCACUUUCAGCGAGGAGGCGUUACUCGCAGAAGAAGCACCGGCUAACUCCGUGCCAGCAGCCGCGGUAAUUC